CCCAGGGGCUUCCUGUUUUGAGACUGGAGUCCGCUGGUGAGGACCCACACUCGGGAAAGGAAGAAGGGGCGGCUGGAGCCGGAAGCAGAGGCGCAGAAGAAUGGUCACCUUGCUGAGAUGGUCUCCUUUCUCCUGGGACACUAGCUGCAGUUUCAGGAAGAGAUGAGAUGGACGACUGAGCAAAAACACACCCCGGGACUGUUUUCUCCGUAACAGAUGGGCGCUGGGGACGGCAUGGAAAUUCCAGG